GGCUGGUCCGAUGGCAGUGAAUUAUCAGAACUUAUCAACAUUAGUGUCACUAAAGUUGGCACACCCCCCACCCCACUGCUAAAUUUGACUGGCUUAAA
ensembl:misc_RNA Y_RNA Y RNA